CUUCUCUGCCUCCUGAGAAGCUGCCACUGGAGGAUUCCUCUUCUGGAGCUUAUGGAACUGGUCACUACAGAGUAGUUGCAAAGAAUGGGUAAUUUGAUGAACCAUGAUGAGGAAGAAAUAGAGGCAUAGAAAUGACAUCACUUGUGAGUAUGCUGCAACAUUUCACAAUAAAGGCAACAUAUGGGGAGGAGUGAUACCUUUUAGAAGCAGUACCUGUAAUGGAGAUUCCCCAAGUUACAAUUUUUAUAUCCUGUCCUUGGGUUGAGCUCAUCUCAUUUCCUCUUCUGAUUGGCUGCCUGUUGAGCUCCUCCAUUUACUUCACCUGCUGCCAAUGCUGAAAAUGAAAGGCUACAAAUAAUAUUUCAUUUCUCAUAAAAGGUCUCACCAUACUGCUCAUGAUAAUCUCUGACUCAGGCCCUGAGGAGGUGCUUCUCACUUGUCUCCUGUUGAGCUUUCACUGAAGACACAGACUCCACACCAGCUGGUGGAAUGUGAGGUAUUUCUGAUACAGAGUCUGACUACUGCUCAGUGAGGUUGCAACAUAAGCACUGAAGCCACGCUUCCUCUCAGCAUCCUGAGAAGCUCACACUGGAGACCGCUGCUCUCAGCUUAUGAUGCUACACAGAAACACAUGUGCUGUCAUCUGCAUCACAGAGUGAAAUUACAUAAACAGGACCAGUAAAUAAGGUAUGCUGCUAAGAGGAUGAUUUGCAUAGCCCAGGCUUUCAACAGCAGCCAGUGUCUCACAAGCUUGCUCAUGAUAAUCUCAGACUCAGGUUUGGAGGAAGUACUUCUACCAACUUCUGAGAAGGUUUUAUUGAAGACAUGGUCAGCAUAUCUAGUUGGUGGUAUUGUAAAUUUUGGUGCUUUUUCCUUUCCUUUACAAUUACUAAUUUCUUGCAUGUAAAAUUCAAUUACAUUUUUAUAUUUCAAUUCACUAGUUUGUU